UUCCAAUCAGAAAGCGUGUUAAAAAUAACAAGUUGUCAGCCUUUUGUACACAAUGAAGUAUGUUUUUGUGUUAAAGACGAUAAAGGGGGUGGAUCGUACCUCCCUUUUCAUUCCACCACUUCGUGACUAAUACGUUUCCCUUUUCACGCAGCAAAGAACAAACUUCAACAAAAUACUUCUUUUUUUUUUUACCAAUGGGAAUAUUUAACUUGCUUUAUUUCUAAAAUACAAUUUAACAUACUUUAAACAUUAGGGUUUUUUUUUUUUUUAAAACAACGUUUUAAUUCAAGGACAACAACAACAACAACAACAACAACACAAAAAUACAUGUUUUACAUGGGCUCCAAAAGUCUUGAUAUUUACAGGUAGAAGAGACAGGAAGAGCGGUCUGUCUCUACAGGUAGAAGAGACAGGAGGAGUGGUCUGUCUCUACAGGUAGAAGAGGCAGGAAGAGUGGUCUGUCUCUACAGGUAGAAGAGGCAGGAAGAGCGGUCUGUCUCUACAGGUAGAAGAGGCAGGAAGAGUGGUCUGUCUCUACAGGUAGAAGAGACAGGAAGAGCGGUCUGUCUCUACAGGUAGAAGAGGCAGGAAGAGCGGUCUGUCUCUACAGGUUGAAGAGACAGGAGGAGUGGUCUGUCUCUACAGGUAGAAGAGGCAGGAAGAGCGGUCUGUCUCUACAGGUAGAAGAGGCAGGAAGAGCGGUCUGUCUCUACAGGUAGAAGAGGCAGGAAGAGUGGUC
ensembl:lncRNA